CUAAUACAUGCAAGUAGAACGCUGAAGAGAGGAUUUUGCUCUUCUUGGAUGAGUUGCGAACGGGUGAGUAACGCGUAGGUAACCUGCCUUGUAGCGGGGGAUAACUAUUGGAAACGAUAGCUAAUACCGCAUAACAAUGGAUGACACAUGUCAUUUAUUUGAAAGGGGCAAAUGCUCCACUACAAGAUGGACCUGCGUUGUAUUAGCUAGUAGGUGAGGUAACGGCUCACCUAGGCGACGAUACAUAGCCGACCUGAGAGGGUGAUCGGCCACACUGGGACUGAGACACGGCCCAGACUCCUACGGGAGGCAGCAGUAGGGAAUCUUCGGCAAUGGGGGCAACCCUGACCGAGCAACGCCGCGUGAGUGAAGAAGGUUUUCGGAUCGUAAAGCUCUGUUGUAAGUCAAGAACGAGUGUGAGAGUGGAAAGUUCACACUGUGACGGUAGCUUACCAGAAAGGGACGGCUAACUACGUGCCAGCAGCCGCGGUAAUACGUAGGUCCCGAGCGUUGUCCGGAUUUAUUGGGCGUAAAGCGAGCGCAGGCGGUUUGAUAAGUCUGAAGUUAAAGGCUGUGGCUCAACCAUAGUUCGCUUUGGAAACUGUCAAACUUGAGUGCAGAAGGGGAGAGUGGAAUUCCAUGUGUAGCGGUGAAAUGCGUAGAUAUAUGGAGGAACACCGGUGGCGAAAGCGGCUCUCUGGUCUGUAACUGACGCUGAGGCUCGAAAGCGUGGGGAGCGAACAGGAUUAGAUACCCUGGUAGUCCACGCCGUAAACGAUGAGUGCUAGGUGUUGGAUCCUUUCCGGGAUUCAGUGCCGCAGCUAACGCAUUAAGCACUCCGCCUGGGGAGUACGACCGCAAGGUUGAAACUCAAAGGAAUUGACGGGGGCCCGCACAAGCGGUGGAGCAUGUGGUUUAAUUCGAAGCAACGCGAAGAACCUUACCAGGUCUUGACAUCCCGAUGCUAUUUCUAGAGAUAGAAAGUUACUUCGGUACAUCGGUGACAGGUGGUGCAUGGUUGUCGUCAGCUCGUGUCGUGAGAUGUUGGGUUAAGUCCCGCAACGAGCGCAACCCCUAUUGUUAGUUGCCAUCAUUCAGUUGGGCACUCUAGCGAGACUGCCGGUAAUAAACCGGAGGAAGGUGGGGAUGACGUCAAAUCAUCAUGCCCCUUAUGACCUGGGCUACACACGUGCUACAAUGGUUGGUACAACGAGUUGCGAGUCGGUGACGGCAAGCUAAUCUCUUAAAGCCAAUCUCAGUUCGGAUUGUAGGCUGCAACUCGCCUACAUGAAGUCGGAAUCGCUAGUAAUCGCGGAUCAGCACGCCGCGGUGAAUACGUUCCCGGGCCUUGUACACACCGCCCGUCACACCACGAGAGUUUGUAACACCCGAAGUCGGUGAGGUAACCUUAUGGAGCCAGCCGCCUAAGGUGGGAUAGAUGAUUGGGGUGAA
rnacentral:rRNA from 1 species